UGCCCACUAGGUGAUGGAAUACAUUUGGUUGUUGACUUUUCUGCAUUCCUUGGUUUCAUAUAAUGCUAGUCCUUUGUUGUCAUCAAGUAAAAACUGUAGUGUUUUAUAUUUCUUUUCGGCCAACUUCUUAAAAUAUAUUGAGGAUAUUUAAUACUACUUACAAUGGAUUCUAACAUUGAUGGUUGUCACAAUAUCACACUAUUGGUUGUGGGGGACUUUUGAGAUGAUUUGGACUUUGAGGUCCUGAUGAUCCCUGGCUGAUGAAUGCGAUUUUCAAAUAUUCCAAUUGAAAGCAGAACCAAUCCUUUGGAAUUGUCAAAUCCAUGUAAGGCUGAAGCAAGUUACAAAAGUAAGGGCCAUACAGAAAUGAGCCAUAAAAUCAGAACAAAAAGAGGCUCCAAUUGUUUAGAGUAAGAAAACAAAAGACAAGUACAAGUUCUCUUUUACAUUUUCUUUUAAUAAGAAUCUACUUUUGAUCUAGACAAAUAAAAGUACAGCAGAUGUAGCAAGUAUGUUUUGGAUCUUGUAACUGAGGAGGCAGUUAUGGAUGAUUAGACCAAGGGAGUCUGGCAAGUUAAGGAAUUCCUGCUAUGAUUGGACCUUGCUUUUCUGGAGCAAGGCUGUACAGACUUGCCUUGCUAUGAGGACAUACUCUAACACUUUUAUUAAAUCUUAGUGUGAAAUGUAUUUUUCCCUACGUUUCAGAUGUUAUUUUUUUCCCUACGUUUCAGAUGUUAUUUGGAUCUGUUUUCUUGAAUUGUAAAUGAUUUGGUUGAUAAAUGACAAUUUCUCCUCAAACUGUAUUUCCA